CCUACGGGAGGCAGCAGUGAGGAAUAUUGGUCAAUGGCCGAGAGGCUGAACCAGCCAAGUCGCGUGAGGGAAGACGGCCCUACGGGUUGUAAACCUCUUUUGUCGGGGAGCAAAGCGACCCACGUGUGGUUCAUUGAGAGUACCCCAAGAAAAAGCAUCGGCUAACUCCGUGCCAGCAGCCGCGGUAAUAAGGAGGAUGCGACGGUUAUCCGGAUUUAUUGGGUUUAAGGGGUGCGCAGGCGGAGGUGCAAGUCAGCGGUCAAAUUGCGGGGCUCAACCCCGUACUGCCGUUGAAACUGCAUCCCUUGAGUGCGCGAGAAGUAUGCGGAAUGCGUGGUGUAGCGGUGAAAUGCAUAGAUAUCACGCAGAACUCCGAUUGCGAAGGCAGCAUACCGGCGCGCAACUGACGCUCAUGCACGAAAGCGUGGGUAUCGAACAGGAUUAGAUACCCGAGUAGUC
rnacentral:rRNA from 1 species